UUUCCGUAGGUGAACCUGCGGAAGGAUCAUUAUUGUAUAACCGAGGUGCGAGGGCUGUCGCUGACCCGAAAGGUCGUGCACGCCCGAGUGCCCUCACACACAUCCAUCUCACCCCAAUGUGCACCACCGCGCGGGUCCCCCUUUGGCUUGUUCGGAGGGGGGCUUACGUUUUCACACAAACUUUGUAUGCAGUGUAGAAUGUAUUUUUUGUUUUUGCGAUCACGCAAUCAAUACAACUUUCAACAACGGAUCUCUUGGCUCUC
rnacentral:misc_RNA from 1 species